AACGAACGCUGGCGGCAUGCCUAACACAUGCAAGUCGAACGAGAUCUUCGGGUCUAGUGGCGCACGGGUGCGUAACGCGUGGGAAUCUGCCCUUUGGUUCGGAAUAACAGUUGGAAACGACUGCUAAUACCGGAUGAUGACGAAAGUCCAAAGAUUUAUCGCCAGAGGAUGAGCCCGCGUAGGAUUAGCUAGUUGGUGUGGUAAAGGCGCACCAAGGCGACGAUCCUUAGCUGGUCUGAGAGGAUGAUCAGCCACACUUGGACUGAGACACGGCCCAGACUCCUACGGGAGGCAGCAGUGGGGAAUAUUGGACAAUGGGCGAAAGCCUGAUCCAGCAAUGCCGCGUGAGUGAUGAAGGCCUUAGGGUUGUAAAGCUCUUUUACCUGGGAUGAUAAUGACAGUACCGGGAGAAUAAGCUCCGGCUAACUCCGUGCCAGCAGCCGCCGUAA
rnacentral:rRNA from 1 species